UCAAGGGUCUACUGUGCACUUAAAAACUGGCUUAGCCAAAUGUAAAAAGCAUAGGGUUCCCAUAACCCAUCCAAAGAUUUUUUAAUUUCUAAGAAAUAGGUGCAACUAUCAACCAAUCAAGCUUUGUUAAAUAAAACUUCUGACAAAAUGGCUCUCGACUAUGUUCUUGACUUUAAACCAAAUAAUUUUGGUCCUAAUAAUGUGAUUUUGAAAUCAGGUUUAUCGUCUUUAAGCCUAUCUAUUAUAAAUAUACAAAUAUUAUGCAAUUUUAAAUAAAUAUUUGGUCAAUCAAAUUUUUUGGCUUUGCAGAACCUUUGCAAAAUGUGAAUUUAGAAAUAAAUUCAGGCAAUUCAGAUAAAAACAGAUAGCAAUUCUUAAAGCAUUAUUACCUGUGUCAAUUUUACUCCGCAGACAAGUGGACUUCCAUGACAAACUGACACUUACAAAUAUCAUAAAUAGGCAAUAAAGGAAUGUAAUUACCUCGACAGGUAAAAACGUUUAAAAAUUAGCUAAUAACAAUUUUAUUGAUAAAGUACAUUUUUAAACUAUCGUAUCUUUUAAGCUAGUGAAGGUAUAGCAUAUGUUACAUCAAGUUGUAUUAAAAUUAAGCGUAGAAUCGGAAAAUGAAUAAAAAAAUUAACCAUUCCAUUUAAAGAAAGUAACUUUGGUCUCUACUACUGUUAUGAUGCCUCCUGUAUAUGCAGAUCUAAAAGAUAUCUAUAAUUUUUAUUUGGAUCACUUUUUCAUAAAAUGGCGCGUUCUUGAAUUAUUAAGUGUAAAAUAUCCUAAGGUUGAAAAUCUAUACCCUAAACAUAAAUACAUAUAAUAAUAUAAUAUAAGCAGAGAUUGAGAGAGACCCAAAAAAGUAAAAGAGGCAGUGAGUGCUGGGCACUUCGGCUUAUAAAGAGCCAUGGAUAUAGUGGUGAUAGUUUACCAGGUGUGGUGGUGUUUGUCCAUUAGGUGGAUAUUAGAAUGGUUGUGAUUGUUUUGUGCACAGGUAAAUCAUGUCGACAUGUGAGUAAUAUUUUAUAUUGUUGUUGUAUAAGUCCAUGGCUAGAGUUUUAUGGUAUACCAGAGUUUGUCGCUGUUUAGCGAGGUAUUACCAGGUUUGUGUAGCAAUCGACAGGGAUGCCCUCUGAGCGCGCAGUUCCUUCGAGUUGGUCUUGUGAAUUAUAGAGGGCCCUCACUUGUCUUCUUGAUUGACACAUUUGGAUUCUAAGAUCUCGGUAUAUGUUAUCUUAGUUUCCGAGUGUUGAGAUGCUUACCGCUUAGCGGCAGUGAAGCGUCUGGCGUAACCUUAACUAUUUUAGGGGGCACGAGCUAGUCGUCGAAGAAAGAAGAUAUAUAUAUGUAAAUUAUUAACAAACAUAAAGUAACUACAUAUGUUAAUGGUUGUUGGCAUGACUGAAUCAAGGGGACCGAGGUUUCCCGUAUCGGCAUGUUUUGGCGCCAAAUCUUAUUAGUCUUUGGUACAUCAACAAAGCAGAGCCUUAACAAGUGUGGUUAUUUUGUCUAGGAUAUUCGUAAUACCUGAGGACCUAAUUAAGGUUUGCCUGAAAUAUUCUUUUGUCGAGCAGUUAUUGGAUAUUGUCCAAUAAAUGGUACUGGUCUGUCCAAUAGACUUUUGUAUUUAGGUAUAUUGCUAGAAUGCCUAAAAAGGGGCAAUAUGAUACCAGUUCUAUGGACACCGCAAUUAACGAGGUUAAGAAUAAUAAACUGGGAUUAAGGGCGGCGGCUAAAAACCCUGGUCAUAAGGAAACUUGCGGCCCAUCCCCUAUAUUGACCUUAAAAGAGGAACAACAGCUUGUAAAGUGGAUAGAAGAGUUAGCAAAUAGAGGAUUUCCAAGAAAAAAAGAAGAUAUUCUCAACAGUGUUCAACAGUUUCUAAUCGAAAAUCCACAACCAAAUCCGUUUAACAAUAACAGACCCGGCGACUGUUGGUUUAAGGCUUUCCUACGGAGAAAUCCGACAAUCGUGCAAAGAACCAGUGAAGCAGUUAGCAACGCAAGUGCUUGUGUCUGUGAAAAAGAUAUAAGGAAAUGGUUUAGAGAAAUUCAAGAUUACCUGCCGAUAAAAAAUAUUAAUAUGAAUAAUCCUUCUCGAAUCUUUAAUGUGGACGAAACAGGUUUUCAGAUUUGUCCUAGUACUGGAAAAGUUUUCGCUGGAAAAGGAAUGACAGCUCCACCAAUGAUAAUAUAUCCCUACAAAAGAAUACCGGAAAAAAUAGCCGUUACAGUGAAUCCAAAUUGGGGGAUCGGGCGAUCCGAUAAUGGAUGGAUGACAUCAGAUACUUUUUAUGAUUAUAUUAAAAACAUGUUCUAUCCAUACUUGGUUGAAAACAAUAUUCAGCUUCCACUUGUAUUAUUCUUGGAUGAGCAAGUCCGACUUAACAUAUGAUCUAAGUAUUCUCUGCAAUGACCUACAAAUAGAAGUAUUUGCCCUUUAUCCUAAUGCAACUCGACUAUUGCAGCCUUUUGAUGUUGCGGUAUUUAGACCAAUAAAGAUGGGCUGGAAAAAAGCUGUUAGAAAUUAUUAUGAGCGAAAUCCAGCUUAGAAAUGGUGGUGACAGAAGCAGUCAAAACAGAGACGCUUAUCAAUGGUUUUAAAGCAUGCGGACUCUAUCCAUUUAAUCCGGAUGCUAUUGACUAUUCUAAACGCUUGGGAAAUCCCAUGAAACUGUUGAGGAAACGAUAUCUGCUCCUGUAAUGAUGGAUGAAGAGAAUUUUAGUAAUUUUGUUGGGGCUAAACUUAUUACUAAAUUCGAAUCAUAUGACGCCAUUCUCAUUAAAGAAGGAUUUACUCCUGAGUUUUUAGCCCUCCAUAGGAUGUAGAGUUUCUUCAGGAAACCUAAUGCCAGAGAAUUGAAGGAAUCUUCUAAUCAACACAAUCCAACGAAUGAACCAAAUAACUUUAAAAAUGACACUGAAAAAAAUUGAUGAAUCUAGGCAGGAAAAUCAAACUUUCAAUGGAGCAAUUGAUAUGAUUUCAAGUCAAGCUUCAAACAGUAAGAAAGUUCAUGUAUUUGCUAAUGUACUUAUUACGAAAGAUAAUGAUUUAACACAAACCAUUUCUCCUGACAUUGGGAUAAUUGCGCCUUCAAACGAACAAAUAGAUACCGAGUCGAAGAACAAAACACCUGGCUUUUCACCAAUAGGUAAAUGUAUUAGUGACUUCCUUAAAAUUCCUGAUAAGCCUGAGCGCAAAAAUAAGCGCCAAGUUGAACGUGUAUCUUUUGCUAUAACUCCUCGAGCCUAUCAGGAAAAUUUUGAGGCUAAAAAGACUCUUAAGUUGGAGGAAGAAAAUAAAAAGAUUGAAAAAAAACGUAAAAGGAAAGAAAAAGCUGCAACUAAACCUAACCUAAAAAAUAAAAAAGUUUGUAAAUCAACCGAAAAUAAACAAGAUGCCGUCUGCUCGGUCUGUAAGAAACGCAUAGCCAAAAGUAAACAUUGGACAUGUAAUAUUUGCCAUAAAAAGUUUCAUAACAUAUGUAUCUCAAAAGAACAUAAGGAGCAUGUCCCCGAUGUAGAUGAUAACGAUUUAUUCUUAUGUCAUGUCAUAACUGCUACCAAGAAGAAAAUGAUAAAGAUAUUAAUAGUGAGGAGAAUUUUGAGGAUUUAAAAACAGAACAAAAUGUCUUCAUUGGCGAACGAAGAUUUAAGGAUCUGGCGAGCAUGGCAAAUAUAAGUUAUCUAAAAGAAGAAGAAGAUGAAAUGGUAAAAGCUAUCGACUCGGAGGAAGUAACAUGUCCGACUGACAUGUUACGACAUGACUGACAUGUCGGAGAAUAUUUUAAUUGACCAAAAUCAAACAGAAAAUGAGGGAAUAUACGAAAAUAAUCAAUUUUAUAGUGAGCAACUAGUCGGCGAUGAUCUAAGUGAAUUAAACGCAGACAAAAUGAUGAGGACGAGGAUCAAGAAGUGGAUGAACUUUGUGCUUUAUAUAAAAAUGAACAUAAACAUUUUUAAUAAUGAUUAAUAAUGGAAUUUGCUUAUAUUACAUGUUUGUAGACUAAAAAACCGAGUUUACCGCGUUUUUACCUAAAUAAAAAAUUAAAAGAU